rnacentral:rRNA from 1 species
CACUUCUAAGGAAGGCAGCAGGCGCGCAAAUUACCCAAUCCUGACUCAGGGAGGUAGUGACAAGAAAUAACAAUAAACCGGCUUAUGCCGGUUUAAUUGGAAUGAGUACAAUUUAAACAUCUUAACGAGGAACAAUUGGAGGGCAAGUCUGGUGCCAGCAGCCGCGGUAAUUCCAGCUCCAAUAGCGUAUACUAAAGUUGUUGCAGUUAAAAAGCUCGUAGUUGGAUUUCUGUGGGGACGGAGCGGCCGGCCGCAACUCGCGGUUCGAGCUAGCGCUUUCCCUACAUCCUGCCGCGAACCGUGCUACCAUUAGUUUGGUGGCGCCGGGGAUCGGCUCGAUUACUUUGAGAAAAAUAGAGUGUUCAAAGCAGGCCACAUGCCUUGAAUAAGUUAGCAUGGAAUAAUAACUAAGGACUUCGGUUCUAUUUUGUUGGUGUUCGGGACUGAAGUAAUGAUUGAUAGGGACAGUUGGGGCGGUCUGUAUUCCAAAGCGAGAGGUGAAAUUCUUAGACCUUCGGAAGACAAACAGCUGCGAAAGCGUUCCGCAAGGAUGUUCCCUUUGAUCAGGAACGAAAGUUGGGGGAUCGAAGACGAUCAGAUACCGUCGUAGUCUCAACUAUAAACUAUACCAGCUAGGGAUCGGCCAACGUUAUUUCAAACCGACUUGGUCGGCACCUUAUGAGAAAUCAAAGCAUCUGGGUUCCGGGGGGAGUAUGGUCGCAAGGCUGAAACUUAAAGGAAUUGACGGAAGGGCACCACCAGCCGUGGAGCCUGUGGCUUAAUUUGACUCAACACGGGAAAACUUACCAGGUCCAGACAUAGUAAGGAUUGACAGAUUGAUAGCUCUUUCUUGAUUCUGUGGGUGGUGGUGCAUGGCCGUUCUUAGUUGGUGGAGUGAUUUGUCUGGUUAAUUCCGUUAACGAACGAGACCCCAGCCUGCUAAAUAGCGCGCGUGAGCUUUGCUCGCGGCGAGCUUCUUAGAGGGACUAUGAUGCGCGAUAGCACAUGGAAGUUUGGGGCAAUAACAGGUCUGUGAUGCCCUUAGAUGUUCUGGACCGCACACGGGCUACACUGGCGCCUGCAACGAGCAUAUCAGCUGGCCCGAGAGGGUCUUGGCUAACCUUUUGAACCGGCGCCGUGCUUGGGAUUGACCUUUGCAAUUGUUGGUCAUGCAACGAGGAAUGCCUUGUAAACGCGAGUCAUCAGCUCGCAUUGAAUACGUCCCUGCCCUUUGUACACACCGCCCGUCGCUCCUACCGAUGAAUGUUCCGAUGAAAUUUUCGGAGAGUGCCUGUGAACUUGGCUCUGCCUUGCGAACGGGAAGCUCAAAGUCACUUAAAUCUGAACAUCUC